rnacentral:rRNA from 1 species
GACGAACGCUGGCGGCGUGCCUAAUACAUGCAAGUCGAACGAGAGCGACCGGUGCUUGCACUGGUCAAUCUAGUGGCGAACGGGUGAGUAACACGUGGGUAACCUGCCCAUCAGAGGGGGAUAACAUCCGGAAACGGAUGCUAAAACCGCAUAGGUCUUCGAGCCGCAUGGCUUGAAGAGGAAAAGAGGCGCAAGCUUCUGCUGAUGGAUGGACCCGCGGUGCAUUAGCUAGUUGGUGAGGUAACGGCUCACCAAGGCCGUGAUGCAUAGCCGACCUGAGGGGGUGAUCGGCCACAUUGGGACUGAGACACGGCCCAAACUCCUACGGGAGGCAGCAGUAGGGAAUCUUCCGCAAUGGACGCAAGUCUGACGGAGCAACGCCGCGUGAGUGAAGAAGGUUUUCGGAUCGUAAAACUCUGUUGUUAGAGAAGAACAAGUGCUAGAGUAACUGUUAGCGCCUUGACGGUAUCUAAACAGAAAGCCACGGCUAACUACGUG